GCGUUGAAAAGCUCGGGGAUGACUUGUGGGUAGCGGUGAAAUUCCAAUCGAGCCCGGAGAUAGCUGGUUCUCCCCGAAAUAGCUUUAGGGCUAGCCUCAAGGUGAGAGAUACGGAGGUAGAGCACUGAAUGUCCUAGGGGGUAUUGCACCUACCGAAGACUAUCAAACUCCGAAUGCCGUCAUCUUAUACUUGGGAGUCAGACUGUGGGUGAUAAGAUUCAUAGUCGAAAGGGCAACAGCCCAGAUCGUCAGCUAAGGUCCCUAAAUGUAAGUUAAGUGGUAAAGGAUGUGGGAUUGCACAGACAACCAGGAUGUUGGCUUAGAAGCAGCCACUCAUUCAAAGAGUGCGUAAUAGCUCACUGGUCGAGUGAUCCUGCGCCGAAGAUUUCCGGGGCUAAAACUUACUACCGAAGCUACGGCAUCAGUAAUGAUGGGUAGGGGAGCUUCCCAUACGGGUUGAAGCAUGACCGUAAGGACAUG
rnacentral:rRNA from 1 species